rnacentral:rRNA from 1 species
CUUGAUGGUAGUGUAUUGGACUACCAUGGCGAUUACGGGUAAUGGAGAAUUAGGGUUCGAUUCCGGAGAGGGAGCCUGAGAAACGGCUACCACUUCUAAGGAAGGCAGCAGGCGCGUAAAUUACCCAAUCCUGACUUAGGGAGGUAGUGACAAGAAAUAACGACUCGGGACUUAUAAAGUUUACGAGAUUGUAAUGAAAACAAUUUAAAACACUCAAUGAGGAACAAUUGGAGGGUAAGUCUGGUGCCAGUAGCCGCGGUAAUUCCAGCUCCAAUAGCGUAUAUUAAAGUUGUUGCAGUUAAAAAGCUCGUAGUUGAAUUUCUGUCCGGCCGCCGUCCUUUUAGGAUUGUAGUGGCUCGGACAUCCCCCUUGAGAUCAUGGUACGUUUUUUGGUGAUCGGCUAUGAAAUCAGGGAUUUUAUUUUGAAAAAAUUAGAGUGUUUCAAGCAGGUUUGUGCUGGAAUACAUUAGCAUGGAAUAAUAGAAGAUGACUUCGGACAUUUUGUUGGUUAUUGUCAGAAGUAAUGAUUAACAGGGACAGUUGGGGGCAUUAGUAUUUAAUUGUCAGAGGUGAAAUUUAUAGAUUAAUUAAAGACUAACUUAUGCGAAAGCAUUUGCCAAGGAUGUUUUCAUUAAUCAAGAACGAAAGUUAGGGGAUCAAAGACGAUCAGAUACCGUC